rnacentral:rRNA from 1 species
UACGUAGGGUGCAAGCGUUGUCCGGAAUCAUUGGGCGUAAAGAGCGUGUAGGCGGCUUUACAGGUCCGUUGUGAAAACUCGAGGCUCAACCUCGAGACGCCGGUGGAAACCGUAAAGCUAGAGUCCGGAAGAGGAGAGUGGAAUUCCUGGUGUAGCGGUGAAAUGCGCAGAUAUCAGGAGGAACACCCGUGGCGAAAGCGGCUCUCUGGGACGGUACUGACGCUGAGACGCGAAAGCGUGGGGAGCAAACAGG